rnacentral:rRNA from 1 species
AAAGGUAAGCUACUAAGAGCGAAUGGUGGAUGCCUUGACUGGUAAAGGCGAUGAAGGACGUACUAGACUGCGAUAAGCUACGGGGAGCUGUCAAGAAGCUUUGAUCCGUAGAUUUCCGAAUGGGGCAACCCAAUGUAUAGAGAUAUACAUUACCUAUAUAGGAGCGAACGAGGGGAAUUGAAACAUCUUAGUACCCUCAGGAAAAGAAAUCAAUAGAGAUUGCGUCAGUAGCGGCGAGCGAAAGCGCAAGAGGGCAAACCCAGUGCUUGCACUGGGGGUUGUAGGACUGCAAUGUGCAAGAGGUGAGUUUAGCAGAACAUUCUGGAAAGUAUAGCCAUAGAGGGUGAUAGUCCCGUAUGCGAAAAACAAACCUUAGCUAGCAGUAUCCUGAGUAGGGCGGGACACGAGAAAUCCUGUCUGAAGCUGGGUCGACCACGAUCCAACCCUAAAUACUAAUACCAGAUCGAUAGUGCACAAGUACCGUGAGGGAAAGGUGAAAAGAACUGAGGUGAUCAGAGUGAAAUAGAACCUGAAACCAUUUGCUUACAAUCAUUCAGAGCCCUAUGUAGCAAUACAGGGUGAUGGACUGCCUUUUGCAUAAUGAGCCUGCGAGUUGUGGUGUCUGGCAAGGUUAAGCAAACGCGAAGCCGUAGCGAAAGCGAGUCUGAAUAGGGCGCUUAGUCAGAUGCUGCAGACCCGAAACGAAGUGAUCUAUCCAUGAGCAAGUUGAAGCUAGUGUAAGAACUAGUGGAGGACUGAACCCAUAGGCGUUGAAAAGCCCCGGGAUGACUUGUGGAUAGGGGUGAAAGGCCAAUCAAACUUCGUGAUAGCUGGUUCUCUCCGAAAUAUAUUUAGGUAUAGCGUUGUGUCGUAAUAUAAGGGGGUAGAG